AUUGAACGCUGGCGGCAGGCUUAACACAUGCAAGUCGAGCGGAGAUGAGGUGCUUGCACCUUAUCUUAGCGGCGGACGGGUGAGUAGUGCUUAGGAAUCUGCCUAUUUGUGGGGGACAACAUUCCGAAAGGAGUGCUAAUACCGCAUACGUCCUACGGGAGAAAGCAGGGGAUCUUCGGACCUUGCGCUAAUAGAUGAGCCUAAGUCGGAUUAGCUAGUUGGUGGGGUAAAGGCCUACCAAGGCGACGAUCUGUAGCGGGUCUGAGAGGAUGAUCCGCCACACUGGGACUGAGACACGGCCCAGACUCCUACGGGAGGCAGCAGUGGGGAAUAUUGGACAAUGGGGGGAACCCUGAUCCAGCCAUGCCGCGUGUGUGAAGAAGGCCUUAUGGUUGUAAAGCACUUUAAGCGAGGAGGAGGCUACUGAGACUAAUACUCUUGGAUAGUGGACGUUACUCGCAGAAUAAGCACCGGCUAACUCUGUGCCAGCAGCCGCCGUAA
rnacentral:rRNA from 1 species